rnacentral:tRNA from 2 species
ACUUAAAUAGCUUAUAUAGAGUAUAAUAUUGAAGAUAUUAUGGAAAUAAAUUUAUUUUUAAGUA